UUGCUUCAGCAGCACAUAUACUAAAAUUAGGACUAUACAGAGAAGAUUAACAUGGCCCCUGCGCAAGGAUGACACGCAAAUUCAUUAAGUGAUCCACAUAAUA